rnacentral:tRNA from 1 species
CAUCUCGUAGCGUAGUGGCAACGCGCCUGUCUAGGAGUCGUGAGUUCGAGUCUCACCGAGCGGA